rnacentral:rRNA from 1 species
GACGAAGGUGGCGAGCGUUGUUCGGAAUCACUGGGCAUAAAGCGCACGUAGGCGGCGGCGUAAGUCGGGUGUGAAAUCCCUCGGCCCAACCGAGGAACUGCGCCCGAUACUGCGUUGCUUGAGGAUCAGAGGGGUGCACGGAAUUUCCGGUGGAGCGGUGAAAUGCGUUGAUAUCGGAAGGAACGUCGGCGGCGAAAGCGGUGCACUGGCUUAUUUCUGACGCUGAGGUGCGAAAGCCAGGGGAGCAAACGGG